rnacentral:rRNA from 1 species
GGGGUGACGGCGUACCUUUUGUAUAAUGGGUCAGCGACUUACGUUCAGUAGCAAGCUUAACCGAAUAGGGCAGGCGUAGCGAAAGCGAGUCCGAAUAGGGCGUUCAGUUGCUGGGCGUAGACCCGAAACCAGGUGAUCUAUCCAUGGCCAGGAUGAAGGUGCGGUAACACGUACUGGAGGUCCGAACCCACUAACGUUGAAAAGUUAGGGGAUGAGCUGUGGAUAGGGGUGAAAGGCUAAACAAACCUGGAAAUAGCUGGUUCUCUCCGAAAACUAUUUAGGUAGUGCCUCGUGUCUCACCUUCGGGGGUAGAGCACUGUCAUGGUUGGGGGGUCUAUUGCAGAUUACCCCGCCAUAGCAAACUCCGAAUACCGAAGAGUGCAAUCACGGGAGACAGACAUCGGG